rnacentral:rRNA from 1 species
AGGUUGACCUCGGAUCAUGUAGGGAUACC